GACGAACGCUGGCGGCGUGCUUAACACAUGCAAGUCGAACGGAAAGGCCCUGCUUUUGUGGGGUGCUCGAGUGGCGAACGGGUGAGUAACACGUGAGUAACCUGCCCUUGACUUUGGGAUAACUUCAGGAAACUGGGGCUAAUACCGGAUAGGAGCUCCUGCUGCAUGGUGGGGGUUGGAAAGUUUCGGCGGUUGGGGAUGGACUCGCGGCUUAUCAGCUUGUUGGUGGGGUAGUGGCUUACCAAGGCUUUGACGGGUAGCCGGCCUGAGAGGGUGACCGGCCACAUUGGGACUGCGGUACGGCCCAGACUCCUACGGGAGGCAGCAGUGGGGAAUAUUGCACAAUGGGCGGACGCCUGAUGCAGCAACGCCGCGUGCGGGAUGACGGCCUUCGGGUUGUAAACCGCUUUCGCCUGUGACGAAGCGUGAGUGACGGUAAUGGGUAAAGAAGCACCGGCUAACUACGUG
rnacentral:rRNA from 1 species